GGUGCCUACAUGCUUCUGUGAUGUGGUUCCAGAUGUUAGCAUACUCACUUCCAACAUGGAUAGAGGAAAGCCAAUGAAGGAUCUCACAGGAAACUCGAGGAGCCUAGAAGGGUGAGAGAGAACUAUUUUUCUGUAACCUUGAACAUUUUCCCUGCUCUUUUCUCUGGCAUUUGGAAGGCCUCCAAGCCCCUCAUCAUUUUUCAACAGCCAGGCCUCCCGCAGUUUGUUCACAGUUUUCUCAAGGUCAAGUUUUUUACAGGAACACAAAUGCAGUUACUGCUUUUAGAGGACACAGUGAAUCAUCUCCAUUAGGAAAUAUAGAACGCCCCGUGGCCUUUGCAAAUGGUCCCACCAUACCUACUGCCAAACCAGAAGCAGAGAGGCCAGACAGUCUGGGUAACCUGUUGUAAGUAACCGUCAUCUUUUAUCCCAGACCUAAUGUUGAGACCUGUUACUUAUGUCUGGGAAAGAGUAGUGGAUGGCUUUCUUUCUUGCUAGGUUGCUUUCUUGCUUUCCCCCUGCCUCAGCCC
rnacentral:lncRNA from 1 species